ensembl:lncRNA
CCCCAACCCCGUCCACUUGAUGUCCAGUGUACGCUGAAAUGAUCAAGACACAGUUUGCACUUAACCACUAAAUCUUUAUUGAAUUUUUAUUAUAACAUCAGUUGAUACAUUAGCAAAUAGAGAGAAAUACAGAGUAAAUAGCAAUAAAUGGGCAAGGGUAGGGAGGUGGCGCAGGGGCAGGUGGGCAGUGCGGAGUUAGGAAGGGGCAGGGGUAAGAAGAAGGGCCACUGACAGGGGCAUAACCAACGGUUCUUAUUCAUCACUUUUCUGUAACUUCCAUGAAUCUUUACCAUCUAUAGUUAUCAAUAUCACUCCAGCAACAAUUUCUCAAAGGGCAUCUAUCUAUCUUAACUCUCUAAAGACUGCUUACAAUCUCAAUCCCCGGAGUUAAGCCUCAGGGCAAAGAGCCUCUAUUAGAUUAUUUUUAUCCAAUCAUCCCUGAACUUUCUCCCACUAAUUUCUAUCCGUGUCCAACAGCCCCCAAAAGGUUGAUCUCCCUGCAGUUCCCUUCAAGUUUAUCUGAAAUCUUUAGGGGUAGCAAUUAUAGAGGAAAGAAUCACAAGGAGGUGCACAUGUUUACUUAUAGCGGUAUCUAAUAGUAUCAUGCUUUUUAACUAAUCCCACCCACUUAAGAUUACUUAAUAGUCCCCCCCCAAAAUACUUAUGAUUAUAUAUAUCCCCAAGUAAAUCGUUACACAAAGAAAAAAAAAAAAACAAGCAAAGUUUCCACAGACCACUUUGAUAGCUUUCUACAAUCUGAAACAACAAAGAACUCUCAAUCCUAACUGAUGCACCUUCUUUCUUUAAGACGAAAGCGUGGCAUGGUUCCCAUCAGGCUCUUCAUCUCUGCAGGUGGUUCUCUUCAUUUCUGCCCAGGUCUUUCCAGCAGAGCGUUCUCUGUUGCCAGUCUUGGAAUUCUGAUGUUAGAUGUCUGUGGUGGAUGAUGACUGGAUCAAUUCAGGAGUCCACAAGGCUAUUUGAAACAUACACCAUAUCGUUUGCUACUGCUCAAACUGUUGGAGACUGUGUUGAAACACAUGCUCCCAGAAGCCUGCCUCUUUCUUCUCCAUGCCAUGGAGGUAAAAUGGAGUCUCAGCAACCAGGCAGGAAGGCUGUCAAAUCCUGCAGCAGGUAAGUGGCAGCAGUAAACACAGAGAGAGGUUAGACAAUCAGUUCAAGGUAGUAGCAAGGGGCCAGGCUAAAGGAAGUCAGGCAGUCCCAGGUUAGCACAAAGCAUCCAGGAGACACCAGCCGAUGUCACUGGAUCGAAGACAACUCUUGUGUUGUCUGUUGCUUUGGGUUGCUUUCUGAGGCCUUUCAUUCACUGGCAGCUUAUCGGCUCCAUCCUCUACAGGAUGGUAAAAUACACUCCCCCUCCCCUAGCAUCCUAGUGCUAUAGUCUAGUGAGGGGACUGGUAAUGAAAUGCCCAGGUGCAUAUGCAGGCAGAGACAAGGACAGAUGCUCCCAAGACUUCAGGUGGCACCCUUCCAGCCAAUGAACAAUGCUCGUGAAAAUUCUUUCUGAAGUUCCAGGUCAAGGUGGUACCAUUAACCGUGAGUCUCUCCUUUAAGACUUGGGUACAGGGAUUUAGGAGUCCUUAUUAGCUACUCAUUAGCCCUCAUACAUGACUGAGAGGUGAUCACAUUUCACAAAUAUCUAACCACCUGGAGCCACCAACAGUCUCUGGUUACCAGGCUUUUUGUUUUGUGUGGAAGCCAUUGCUGGCAUGGUGAUGGUAAGGUGUUGUGACAAAGUCAGAGUUAUUGGGUACAUAUGAUUUGCACCAGGAUGUGAAGGCACACUCAAACAUGCACAAAUCCCUCUGAGAGCACUUCCUCCUGAGGCCUGAGGUGUUCUGUUGAAGGGGUUUUGCCUGCUCCCCAGAGAACUGGUCGAGUUGCCGCUCCUUGAGU